rnacentral:rRNA from 1 species
AGAUUGAACGCUGGCGGCAUGCCUAACACAUGCAAGUCGAACGGGAGUAGCAAUACUCUAGUGGCGGACGGGUGAGGAAUACGUAGGAAUUUGCCCUUAAGUGGGGGAUAACCCGGGGAAACCCGGAUUAAUACCGCAUGACCUCGAAAGAGCAAAGUGGGGGAUCGCAAGACCUCACGCUUUUGGAGAAGCCUACGUCGGAUUAGCUAGUUGGUGAGGUAAUGGCUCACCAAGGCGACGAUCCGUAACUGGUCUGAGAGGAUGAUCGAGUCAACACCGGAACU